GCGAGCUGUGAGUCUGGCAGCGCAGGUCCGACACCGUGGGCCCCAGGAAGCCGAUGCAGAGGCCGAAGCUGAAGAAAACGCUCCAGUAGAUUGGAAGGUGAUUCUGGAAAGAAGAAAAGCUAGCACACAUAGGUAGAGGUGGUGAUGUCCAAAACUAUAAUGGUGGCACUUGGGGAAAAAAGAGUCCUGGAAUGUUCAUGAGACCUUAUGGAGCAAGGAGAGAUGCCAAGAGUAGAGAGAAGAACAUCAUGAUACCAGAAGAUUCAGCCUUCAACCUGAAUGUCCAUUCUGGCUACUCUACUUUCUUUGAUCCCAAAGGUAGAGAAAAGGUUUUUUCACUUUGGGGAGAUUCAGAGAAGCUAUAUCCCCAACUAUUAAUGGUAGAAUUUCUUGUUGAAUGAGGUGCUUUCCUCAGCAUGGAUGUUAAGAUGUGUUUUCCUAUUGUUUUUCUUUGCAAUCUCAUCCCAAUUAAAUAUUUUACUAUGUUAAAA